rnacentral:rRNA from 1 species
UGGGGAAUAUUGGACAAUGGGCGAAAGCCUGAUCCAGCCAUGCCGCGUGUGUGAAGAAGGUCUUCGGAUUGUAAAGCACUUUAAGUUGGGAGGAAGGGCAGUAAGCGAAUACCUUGCUGUUUUGACGUUACCGACAGAAUAAGCACCGGCUAACUCUGUGCCAGCAGCCGCGGUAAUACAGAGGGUGCAAGCGUUAAUCGGAAUUACUGGGCGUAAAGCGCGCGUAGGUGGUUCGUUAAGUUGAAUGUGAAAGCCCCGGGCUCAACCUGGGAACUGCAUCGAAGACUGGCGGGCUAGAGUAGGGCAGAGGGUGGUGGAAUUUCCUGUGUAGCGGUGAAAUGCGUAGAUAUAGGAAGGAACACCAGUGGCGAAGGCGACCACCUGGGCUCAUACUGACACUGAGGUGCGAAAGCGUGGGGAGCAAACAGG